AAAAGAAGAUCAAGAAGAGCUUCAGAAUGAAGCUUUCUGGAUGGAGGGGAGCGGCAGACGGGUGAGUCACACGUGGGAACAUACGCUUUACUACGGAACAACUCUGGGAAACUGGAGCGACUACCGUAUGUGCCCUUGGGGGGAAAGAUUUAUCGGUAAAGGAUUGGCCCGCGUUGGAUUAGCUAGUUGGUGGGGGAAAGGCCUACCAAGGCGACGAUGCAUAGCUGGUCUGAGAGGAUGAUCAGCCACAUUGGGACUGAGACACGGCCCAAACUCCUACGGGAGGCAGCAGUGGGGAAUAUUGGACGAUGGGCGCAAGCCUGAUCCAGCCAUGCCGCGUGAGUGAUGAAGGCCUUAGUGUUGUAAAGCUCUUACACCGAUGAAGAUAAUGACGGUAGUCGGAGAAGAAGCCCCGGCUAACUUCGUGCCAGCCGCCGCGGUAAAAC
rnacentral:rRNA from 1 species